GAUGGGAUAUUUCUGUUCGUAGUAAUAAAAAUAUUAUUGCAGUAACUUACAUAGAGAGAGAGAGGACAUGACGAACGUUAAGCGUUUUGUAGUUGGGGGAGGGGCGGAUCUGAAGCCAUGCUUAGGGCGUGUGCUAUUUGUUUUCCCGUUGCAACGCACGGGCAAUUUUCCUAGUAUGAUUUAUGAAAGUACUUAGCCUUGAAUACAGAGUAGAUGCAUAUUUAUAUGGGAGAUUGGUAGAUGCGGCGAUGCAGCUAUAAGGUAUCUGCAGAGAAGAUGCUCGCACAUCUACACAUGCAUGCACCCAGGGGGGGUGCGUGAUACACGAGGUUGUGUGCUCAUUGGCCGCACAAGAUCUCGUGAUGGAUAACACGUACGUCCGCUACAGAAGAGGGCAGCAUACCAAGCGAUUCAUGGGUCAAUCGACUUGUAGCGACUCCUUCCUGGUGUGUACUUCUCCUUAACUUGGUUAACUACCAAGAUCCUCUUGUAUAAAUGUUGCCGAUGCUAUAUCAUCACCUUCUUGCACUGCUAGAACAUUCAAUCAAUUCUUCAGAGUUCAUUGAAGAACAUGAGUUCUGUGGAGGCAAAGGCGUGAAGUAUCCAGGGCCUGCGGGAGGAAGCACCAUAGUCACUAGCGCAAAGGCAUCGUGGCCGGAGGUGGUCGCGAUGUCCGUCGAGAAGGCCAAGGAGAUCAUCCUCAAGGACAAGGCCGAUGUGGAGAUCGAGGUCCUCCCAGUCAACGCAUGGGUAACCUAGGACGUAAGGCCCGACUAUGUGCAACGAGAGAUUUGUCCAACUUAUUGUAGUUGCCUGGAAUCUUAAAAGUGCGCAUGCUCGUUGGCGAGAACGAGCGGCCGCUUCGUCACUUGCAUGCAUGUUUAUCUUUUUAUAUCUGCUAGUGCAUGGUUGUUGGCAUUACAUGUUGUCGGACUGAACACAUCAAAAAUAAAGCAACAGAUUCUUGUGCAUUUAUUUUUUGUUUUCAUUUCUUUUUAAAGUUGUAUCUUUCAAACCGCACGUUGAAAUGCAGGUUUGUCUUCCUUGU